AUUGUGAGAACCUGGUGGAGCUCCCGAGGGAAGACUCGGAGAGUGUGGGAACCCCCACAGCCACGUUCCCCAGCUGUUUCUCGUUCUCCUGUAGUCCAGACUCAGCCUCAGCAGCCCACGGACAUUCCCGUGAAGACUUCCUACCAGAGCACGGCUUCCCUGCCUUCUGCCCGGGGAGCAGAUCUUCACUGUGACUUUCUGGAUUUGCCUGUCUCUGCAGAUUGCAGGAGACAUGAUGAGGAUCAUAUUACAGUUGCAAUAAUGGAAGUAGAGUGAACGACACAAGGCACUUCAAGUCACAAAAAGAUAUCAAUGAUGAAUAUCAAGUCAUAUGUUAAAGCUACAUGAAAUGUUGCUACAAAACGUGACAAAAAUUAUUUUCAAGUGCUGAAUGCAACUGAAACAGCAUACCACUAAGAAAAUGAAAAAGGCGAGCCACUGACCAGGAGAAAAUAUUCACAACACAGACAUCUGAGAGAGGACUUGUAUCUAGAAUAUGUAAAGAAUGCUUAGAAUUCAAUAAUAGAAGAACAAACCAAUUUAAAAAUGGGCAAAAGAUUGAAACAGACACUUCACAGAAGAUGUACAGAUAGCACAUGGAGAAGCUCAGCGUUGUUAGUCUCAGGGGAAUGCGAAUUCUCUACAGUGAGAUAACACAUGGUCACUACAGGGGCUGGAACGUGCUGACUGAGACGGGUAGUAACUGGACUCUCCUCCUGUGCUGGUGGUAAUGUAAAAUGGCACAACCACUUUGUAAAUCUAUUUGGCAAUUUCUCCUAGAGUUAAACAUACUCUCCACAUAAUCCAAGAGAAAUCAGUGCAUAUAUUCAUAGGAAGAUUUCUACACAAAUAUUCAUAGCAGCCUUAUUGAUAAUGGCCAAAAACUGGAAAGAACUCAAAAGUCUAUCAAAAGAAAAGGAACCUUAAAAGUAUGUGUUAAAUUUUAAAGAAUGCGUCUGGACAUACUUCUCUAUAGUGAUUUUCUUUAGUCUGAAAAUCAAGCUUGUUUUGCAUCAAAGACAGACUAUAAUCGUGAUUAAGGGAUGUGAGAAGAAUAUCAGAAGUGACCAAGGACACGCUGCUCAGUUGGGCCACCAAGGUGGCUGGGCCACUUCUACUACCAGGAAGCUACCACAUCCAGAGUCACAUCCUCCGCCUGGUCAGGAACCUGACCUGGGCAGGCAGCAUCCACAAUCAGAAGCCUUAGCUUCUACUGCUGGCAUUUACAUCCGUGAAGCUCACUUAUCAUAGUCCACACUGGUAAACACACGUCCCAGGCCCUGCCCCUUGACACGCCCGACACUGGACACUGAAACCACUGUUCAUUUGCUUCAAAAAACCAAAUGCCUCCAUAUCUGUACUUGCCGGCAGAAAGGGAAGUUGCAUCAAAAGCUUGGUUUCUGCUCACUUUCACCUUCCAAAUAUCAUGCAAGGCCAAUCUUACUGCCUGAAUUUAAAUCCCAACUGGAACCCCAGUUCCAAAGAAGUCUGGGAAGUGCAGUCUCCAGUUUCGCACCAUCUAAAUGCAAGAGGUAUUGGAAGGGGAGUAGACCACUCAUCAAGUGCAGAUUCACCGUCUCCAUGCCGGACGCCACAGAACCUUAUAAAACUCUGAGAGCUCGUGUUUACAUUAAAUACAACAGUCACCAGACUGCAAGACAACGACAUUAAACAAAAUCACCUUAAUAAUGUAGAUAGUAAUAUUAAAUUUGUUAAUUGGCUGGGACAAAUGCUGAAAAUAAAUGCAGAUUUGAAAUCCAAAGCUUCAAGAACUGCUCAGGUGUAUUCAUAGACAAGUGAUGGGGUGAUUAACAGAAUCAGAGGAUGUUUUAGGUUUUGUGUGCAUGACUUUUGAGAUUAAUGUCCCGGGCAGCAUCUCUCAAUUCUGGCUGCCAGCAUAAUCACUUCAAGAACUUUAAAGAAAAUACCAAUGUCCAGACUCCUUCCUUGAUUAAUUUAAACAGAAUUUCUGGUGCCCAAAGAUCCGAAGGUGAAGCUGAUAGGCAUCUGGUCUGAGCAUCACUGGUUUAGCAUGGAAAUCAGUCCUUCCAGAAACACAUCUCUGUUAAACAAAAACUUGAAGGCUGUUGAGCCCAUGGGUCUGAUGUGGAAUAGUAUUAAUUAUGAUGAUUAAAAAUGGAGUAUACAUAGCAACUUUAUGAUAGCUUUAGGUGCAUUCUCACUAGAUAAUAGUUUACCUGUGAUUUUGAUCACACCAAAGAUUUGAUUUGGACAACCAUAUUCAUUUGAAAAGGAAAAAACAAUCAUCUGAUUAUCUAAUAGUAACACACAAAAUUUUUUAAAGGUAAGGAAAGAAAUUAGAUUAUAAAUGGUAGAUUAUAUAGUGUUUUAUGACUACGAAGUAUAUUUUAUUUGGAAUUAAUUUCAGAGAUGGACAUUCCUAUUUUGCAAUGGACUAAUAUAUGCUUUUCUUUUGACAAAAAGCAUUACAUUUUGGAAAAACUUUUCCUUAAAAUAAUAAUUUCUGUGACUUAAGAAAAAGUUUUUAUACAUCAUUAAUAAAAUAUGAUCUGUUACAAACUAUAUUACACAUAUUAAAGCUAUAUAUUCUCCCAGUUGUCUUUUGAUUAUUAUAUAAUAAACAUGAACAUAUAUUCUAGAAUUAAUUAUGAUACAACACCUAAGGAAAUUGUUAACAUUGUGUGAAUUCUUCUAAAAUUCAGCAUUUAGCACAGUGUAUUGCACACUCUAAACACCAAAUAAAUUGUUUUUUAGUAGAUUCACAUUGGAAUUAUCCAGCAAGGGAAAAGAUAAUCACUACCAAGAGAGGAAAACACAUUACUCAUCUUCAUGAAAUUCUCUUUACAUAAAUCACAGCUGCUUUCUACACAGUGUUAAGUAACCAUCUAGGGUGGAGGUGAAUUCCUUGUAUUUUUCUGCAUUCCAUUAUCAUUUAUCAAAUGCCUCACUUGGAUCUUAUAGAUAUUAAUUUUCCAGUUAUUUUACUUAAUAAAGCUUUCAAAACUUAUGAGUGAAAAGGCCAAGGGAGAAAAGAUUAAAAACUGUAAAAUUA
ensembl:lncRNA